rnacentral:rRNA from 1 species
AGUGAACGCUGGCGGUAGGCCUAACACAUGCAAGUCGAACGGCAGCACAGUAAGAGCUUCCUCUUACGGGUGGCGAGUGGCGGACGGGUGAGGAAUACAUCGGAAUCUACUUUUUCGUGGGGGAUAACGUAGGGAAACUUACGCUAAUACCGCAUACGACCUACGGGUGAAAGCAGGGGAUCUUCGGACCUUGCGCGAUUGAAUGAGCCGAUGUCGGAUUAGCUAGUUGGCGGGGUAAAGGCCCACCAAGGCGACGAUCCGUAGCUGGUCUGAGAGGAUGAUCGGCCACACUGGAACUGAGACACGGUCCAGACUCCUACGGGAGGCAGCAGUGGGGAAUAUUGGACAAUGGGCGCAAGCCUGAUCCAGCCAUACCGCGUGGGUGAAGAAGGCCUUCGGGUUGUAAAGCCCUUUUGUUGGGAAAGAAAAGCAGCAGGUUAAUACCCCGCUGUUCUGACGGUACCCAAAGAAUAAGCACCGGCUAACUUCGUG